AAUUUUAAACCUCAGCCCAAUUUCAAUACCCAUUUUGAUUCAUUACCCCUUUUUUCAUUUUUUUACCCUAAUCUCUCACAUAAAAGGGGAGCUAAGGCAAAAAAGAGAUAGAUCAUAUACCCCUUCACAAAAGAGCCACGGCACAAGAACCCCUCCUUCCCUUUUCUUGCUUCUUCAUUCUAAUCUCUGAAUCCUCGCACUCCCUGAUUUCUCUCAAAAACCCACGCACACACCAUUCUCACUCAAAGAUCAUUCCCUCAUUUUUUAAUCGGCACACACAAAAGUGCUCACUAAUCUCACACACACAAUUAGGAAUAUAGACCAGUAGCUAAGAGUAGCUAAGAGAGUUGGAAAUAAUCUUUUUUUUAGAUCUAGAAAACAAGAACAAAAAAAAGGGGAAAGAGGAUUUUAAGUUUUCUCUGCCUCUGCUUUUCAGCUUCAUUUCUCUGGAUCUAAAAAGCUGGUUGACUGUUGAAAUUGUUGUUUUAUUGCUGAGAUUACCACCGAGCUCUUUGGAUUGAUUUUCGGUCUUCAUUUGGGCUCACUUUAACGCCAUUGCUUUGUUCGAUUUAGGUAAGUUUCGAGUCCUCAACGUAUUAUGUAUGUAUUGAGUGAUUAAAUUGUUAAAUCCUUAUGUGAUUUUGCAAGUUUACUCGAUUUUUGCUACUCUGAAUCUAAUGUCCGGUGGUUGCGCAGUGUGUUUUAAUUUAGAAAAAUACUUGAAAUAGUGAAAUAGAUAAAAAAUGACACCUACAUAGGUUAAUUUCAAUUCCCGAUUUUGAUGAGAAUACUGUUCUGGAUUGCUUGACUGUUUUAAGUUUAAUUUUUUUUAUUUUUUUUUAGUUUGAAAUUGGGUACUGUAUUUGAGAUUUUCAUUUUUUUAGCUUCUUAUGUGAACCUCACUCAUUAUUUUGGAAUUAUUUGGAGACUAGCAGCAUUUGUUGUGCAAAGAGUUUCAUGGCAAGUAUUUUAGAUUUGUGUGAAAGGAAGUUUAAGGCCACCGUAGUUCAGUCGAGUACCAUUCAUGCAAUGUGAGCUAAUGUAUGAGUUUUUUGCCAUAUUUUGAAUCAUAGUUCAUCAGAACUUGUAUAAACUUGGAUGAUUUUGCAUUGUUAAUUAUGGUCAUGCGAGUAAAAAUAGUUUUUCUGUGAAAUCCCUUAUUAUCAUGCCCCACCCCACUGGAAGGACAAGGCUCACGCGAGGCUAAUCUUUUAUUGUGAGUUAAGGUUAGGACAAUAUUCUUUAUGGUGGAUUAUCAAUAAAAAAUCAGAUUAGUCUGGCCAUUGGCUAAUAUUUUCACAAUGAAAUAAAUUUCAAAAAACGCUAGAUUGUCGCACUAAUCUCCUGAAAGGUGAGUCAAAUAUGCUUUCAUAAAUCAAUGUAGUGGUCCACUAAUGUCUUACUAUCUGAAUUUAAUUUCUAAUAAGCCUUGGACCGUCACUGAGAAUCCCAAACUUUAGAAAUAUAAAGAACUUUCGAACAUCCGUAGCUUGCUUCAGGCGUAUUUUAUAAUAAAUCAUCGUGACUAUGGGUGCGGUUUCCGUGACAUAGUUAUGAAACAUAAUUCCCAAAUUCGGGUGUGCAUUUCAUAUGACCCAAUUUCAAUUCUCAACAACGUUAAAUAGAACGUGUCGCGAACCGCGGAUGCAUUUCAUGUGGUGUGGUUCAAGGCAUGUUUUAAAUAACAUUAAAUCUUCCUAAAAUAAUUAAAAGCGGUUAAAGGUUUAAAAUCGCACCAUAGGUUAAAACAUGUACUAAAAUCAGAUAGUAGGCCAAUAAUAACAGUUGAGCGACCGUGCUAGAACCACGGAACUCGAGAAUGCCUAACACCUUCUCUCGGGUUAACAGAAUUCGUUACCUGAGUUUCUGUGUUCGCGGACUGUAAAACAGAGUCAUUCUUUUCCUCAAUUCGGGAUUUGAACUAGUGACUUGGGACACCAUAAAAUUAUCCCAAGUGGCGACUCUGAUUUUAAUAAAUAAAUCCCGUUUUGAUUGUCAUUUUUUAAUUGGAAAAAACUCCCUUAUAUACUCCCUUACGGGGGUGUAGUAAAAAGGAGGUGUGACAAUGACGAGAGCAUCAUUGUGAGGGAAAGUCAAACCAUUGGCAUCUGAUUCGUCGAAGAUGAUACUUUCAUCGAGUUUGUCAUACCGUUCGUUGAUAAUAGAUCUUUUGAGCUUGUGAGUGGCAGUGAAUUUAACGCCAUUGAUGGAGGCAUCGUCGCUGCUAUCGAUGAUCAUGUUGAUGGUGCGAGCUAGUGAUGGUGGUUUUUGUGGGCCUUGGCAUUCACGACCUCUAGCGAAGUUGUUUCUCCCUUUGUCGCUCUGCAGCUCUUUGAGAUGUCCCUACUACAACAUGUUCACAACCUCUUGCUGAAGGGCGAUACAGUCUUUUAUCUGUGUCCGCGCUCUUGGUGGAAUUCGCAGAAGGCUUCAGAUUUUCUGGUGCUUUGGUCGAACCCACCUUGGGUGGCCAUUUCCCCUUCGUUUCGAGUUUUUCCAAGGCAUAGAUAAUUUUUUUAGGUGACACAAAAAUUAUGAGCAGAUAAUAAGGGGGACAUACCUCUCUCGUUUCGACGAGUCCCUAUUCUUGGCCUGGAUGGGCCUUCAUCAUAGUGGAAAGAAGGCAGGGUGAGGGCUUUGACGUAUGGCUGAUGUCGAUCCCUAUUGGAUCGUGAGAUCGGGUGAUCCCUCCUUAUGUUAUUUCUUCGCUCUUUCCUAUGCUCGGCUUGUACCGAGACGAGCCGUCGAGUUGGUUCAUUGAGGUUGUCAUCAUCUGCUCAGGCUUCGACACAAUAAGCAUUGUGGAUUUCAUCCCAAGUAUUUGGAGGAUAAUUUUAUCAAUCGGCUCAGCAGUUUUUUGGUCGGUCUUGAACUCUCUUUACUCAACCCGUUCUGAAAAGCUACGACUACCAUCCUUUCGGACACGUUUGGUAGGGUCAUCCUGACCCUUUUGAAUUGGGAGAGAAAGUCCCUUAGUCCUUCUCCCAAGGACUGCUUGAUGGAAAAGAUGUUGUUUACCCUUGUUUCGGCUUUCUUGGCCCCGGCAUGGGCUGUUACGAACUUGUCGGCCAUUUCUUCGAAGGUUUCUAUGGAGUGGUCUGGUAGCUGUGAAUACCAUGUCAACACCCCUCAAGUGAUGGUUUAGCCAAAUUUCUUCAACAACAAAUAGGACACUUGUUCCUUGGCAGGUCGUUGCCCUUCACGGCGGUGACAUAAUGAGUCACGUGAUCUUCGGGUCAGUCGUUCCAUCAUAUAUCCUGAGAUACGAUGGCAUUGUGAAGGUCUUUGAUAUGGUGUGUGGGACUUUUUCCUCAUUAUACGACUGUUGUAUGAAUCUACCGGUGUCCCUUUUUAGUAGUAGCUUAGGGUCACCCCGUAUCUUGUCGACCCGCUCCUGAUGUUCUUUCAUUUGAUCCCUGAGCAUCUUAUUUUAAUUUUCCAUUUCUUCCAUCCUCUUAUGAAUAACAGCGAGGACGGUGUCACCUGCAUUGUUAGUGAUAUUGUGAGUUAUACAUGGUGUUGGAGGGUCUGGUUGGUUGCCUUGCUCGUCUGCUCGUAGCACUGUGUGGACUCUUGCGGUAUCUAUGGUCGUGCAUGGAGCAGGUGUGUUGAGCAUGCUUACUAGUGUAGCGGUCAACAAUGCUUCGAGGAGCUUUUUCAUGGCCAGUGACAUCCCUUCUCCUGUGGACGUGGAGCCCCUUUCCAUUUGGUUUUGUUAUGUUACAAUAGGGGGAGGCGAGAUCUCGUGCCUGGGGGAUACAGUAGGUGUCAUGUCAUCGCCUAGCAUUUGGCAGCUCUCGUUGAUAGCAUUCAUGAGGUUGCCAGGGAAGUCACUUGUCACUUUGGUCCUAUCUCCUUGGUUACCUGCCAUGUAGUUUUCCAUACAUGUAGAGAAAGAGAAAGAUCUUGCGGUUUUGUUAGGUUAAUGACUCACGUGAGUUGUAGAUCUAAAGUAAACUAAAAAUUAGCUAAAAAGUCCCCACAUACAGCGCAAAGCUGUUUGAUCCAAAAAUUAUGAUUCAGGUUCAACUAAUUAGAUUUAAAUAAAAUAGGGUUAAUCUUAGCUAAUAUUAAUAUCCAAACGACAAUAUUAUCCAUUUUAUGACAGAUAGUAUGUCUAUUAAAGCGGGUGGCAAUAAAUGUGAGCAAUAACAACGAUAUUCAAUGAUCCAAAAAGAUGGCAGAUAGCAUUAAAUAAUAAUAAGUAGCAAUUAAUGGCAUUUAAGCAAAUAAAAACGUAUGAGUCGCCCCAAAAGGGGUGAGAUAUGUGGAUAUUCUUUUUGACAAGGAUGAAUGAUUGAUGAGCCUUUGAACAGUUAGGUCUUUCUUGGAUUAGGUGGAAAAAUUAGACAAGAAUCUUAGUAAAAAAGUUAUUUUUCAUAUACUUGUGAUAUGGCUAGAUCCUCUCUAUACAGUCAAUGUAUUUUCCUACAAGUGAAUAUCUCAUGCCCCCGAUCAUUUUGUCUCUUUCUAUUUAUAGGGAACAUAUUCCUAUAAACCUUAAUAGUACAGGCGCAAAGAAUAUCCAUUAGCAUAUUCCUUUUAGUAUCCUAUCUUAAAACUAGUUGUUAUAACUCCAUCUAAGAUGUUCGACCUCGAACUUGAUCUACAAUGACUUCAUGACCUUGAUCUUCGCUGACUCUUCGUCCGCACCCUUCAUCACUUCGAGGCCACUUCGACCUGCGACAGAUCUUUGUUGAGACCUUAAUAAUAGCACGUGACGACCGAUGAAGGCUAUCAUGGUGCUGACGUGGCUUACCUAUAUCAAAGAUAUUUUUUUGCCCAUAUAUUUAUGUUGGGGCCUUGUUGAAAAAAUUGUGCGAGAUGAUUCUUAGGGUGUUGAAUUGUUGAUUGCGCCUUGGUUAUGGUCUUCCUACUGUGGAAUAUUGUGCUAUCUGUUUCUCCAUGUUUAUGGUCAUGCACUUAGCGUGUUUGUUGUUGAUAUGCAUAUGGUUGUUGAUUGUGAGUAUCAUGGCUCGAGGUAUUCCACGUGGAUUGGUGUUUAUAAUGGGUCACGUAUCGCAGCAGAGUUAUGUUGGGAUAUGAUCCUUGUGCUUAUUUCGUGUGUUUAGUUUCUCUUUUGUGUGAUAGGUUCAUAGAAUUGUGUUUCGUGUGGUGGUAUCUGUUGAGCUUGGGGGGAGGUUCUCUCAUUUGAUUCCUUUCCAUCAUUGGGUACAUUCGAGUUAUUGCUCGUUUGGUGCACAGAUUUUAUGAUAAGUGGCUCUAGGUAGGAUUGGUGUGGCAUAUUGUUAAAGCAACUUGUAUUGGAUAAGGUAAAGUUAGUGGGCAUGAAAUGAGUGCCAUCGAAUUUGAUUAAGGUAUGUUUAGAAGAAUAAUGUCACUAGUCAGCAUAGAUUUCGAAUAAGGUUCUUGCUGG
rnacentral:lncRNA from 1 species